GUUGGUGUACUGUAUAGUUAUAGAGAUUGGAUUUCACUCAAACCCACGACAUGACUCCUCCCACCGUAUUAUCAUGAUCCCCAAGUUUUGGACUCAAUUCGAUAUCGAUUGGUCCAUGAAAUUGGAUAAUUCAGGUUCGUACGAAGUUCGUUAUGAAAUGGAGUGGUUGGUGUAUUGCAUAGUUGUAGAGAUUGGAUAUCACUCAAAACCCACGA
rnacentral:lncRNA from 1 species